GCUUUGCCUGGCUUGUCAAAUGCAGAAGCAUAAAUAAAGGACGGCCUGCAGGCGGACUGUCUGGGAUCCUUGUCCGUAAUGGAGCGAAUAGUUCACGAGUGAGUUGCCUGUAAUUCCCUUAAGCCUCAUCCGAUACACUUAAUUUAAAAAAAAAACAGGCAGGGCUGCUUCCCUGCAUCACGUCUAAAACGGUUGUCAGUGACGUUGCAGAAGGACGGGGAGUUCAGUGUGGCGGAACGUUUUGAGCCUACAAAUAGUUUCUGUGGCCGUAGCAUACCGGCGGGAGUACAUCGAGAUGGAGAAAAGGCCCGAUGCGAAACAGAAGAAGAGGAAGUUCAACUGGAUGCACUGCGGUCAGGAGGCGUCGGGACUUGUGUACGUAAUGGACGAUCCGACAGGAGGCGUCUGGAUGAAACCGAAAGACCGCUCGACCACAUCUUGGAAAAAGAACGCUUAAAAGGGACUUUCCAUUAUUGAGUUUGGUCAAUUUAUCUGGUCUCAAAUGCUGACCGAAAAGCUCGGUUUGUGGGACUGCUGUACUGCUGAAGUGAAGUAGAAUGUCAAUUUGAAGAACGACUUGCUCAUCUCUAGCAGUUGGCACUGGAUUUGGAAAGGCUUCGGGUGGUCACGUUGGUCCUGACACACAUCAGGCGACCAGUAAAAGAGACUCUUGAUCGUAAGAUAUAGAAAAAUCAUUCUGGCUGGUGACAGAACGAUCUGUGAUUGAUGGUUGUAGAUCUGAAGUGCGAGCAGCAUCACAGCGCGUGUCCCGUUGACCUCCACCGCAGCUUCCAGGGAAGUGAUGUUCGGCACGCGCCGUACGCCUGCAUUGGCCCAGGGUGGAGGCGUGUUACAUAGGCCUACAGAAAUAUUAAAUGCAAAUGUCGUGUAAUCCACAGUACAUUGUUACUGUGUGAGCUGUUGUCACUGUUUGGAAUUUAUUUGAGGUUUUUUUAAUUCAUGUGAUAUCUUUCUGGUGAUUUAUUAAAUGCUGCUCUCUUGAAAAGCAGACUUUUAUUUCUCAUUCACCUUUAUAAUUAUGACAAAAUCAAAGGCGGUUGGAUUCAGGAAGCACGUUGUGCAUUCGCCACUUUUAAUGUUGGUCGUCUAGCCUUUAUCGAAUUAACGCUGAUUAAUUACUGUGCAGACAAACCACCAUUCGAAAGGUACACCUGCUACGUCACAACGGGGAUUUGUGUCGCGUGGGCUUUUCGCUUGUCACCUUUCACGUCGUGCCACUAGUUAAUACCGUAAGAAACUGCUUUAUUUUCCGCAGUUUUUAUUUAAGUUUUUGUAACAUUUAACUCAUUUGCCUAUAUAUUUCAGAAACAGAUCUCACUAGUGCCACCACGUGGACACAUACUUACACGAGCAUCUUGUUUCUAGUGAGGUCAAGUGUGAGCAUAUGAGCGUCACAACGCUAAAGAAAAUCCUUUAUAGACCUAUAAUUACAGCAAUUAUACUGUACACCUCCAAGUUCUGGAAAAUAAAAAGGAUAAGUACGUUCAUUGUGCUAGGUUUGUUUGCUGUAACUUAGCUGACUGCUUUCCUUAAUUUAAACUGAGCAUGAAACAAAGUUGAAAAGUGAUAUGUCAUAUAUGUGUCAUUGAGUUUACUAAACGAAACUCAGGUUUUGCAACUGCCUAACUGAUGUCCUUGGACAUCUGUGUUUUCUUCAUAAAAGGUUUAUCAAAUAAAUCCAGAUGGAAGAAACAGAAUUUCUAUUAUUUAUUUAUUUAUUUAUUGUUUCUUGUUUGUUUUGUUUUGUUCCUCCAGAUACUGACAUCACUGAUGUUUGUAAUGCUGGCUUAUACUUUGCACAAAAAGUAUAUUGAAAGACUAAACAAUAUUUAAGUAACUUAAUUUUUUGCAAAACUGCUUAUGUCACACCAUUGUAACAGUUUUGACUAGCUGUUUUUAUAUUGUGAUUUCACAGUGUGAAAGUACACUGUGCUGCCCAUAACCUGCAUGUUCGUGAACUGUAAUGAUUAUAAUGUAAGUCCACCAUGAAUGUAUUUGUUUAUGUAACAUUUAUCUAUGAGUUGGAAUGCCUGCCCCAUAUCCUGUUGUGUUAAAUUUGGGUUCUGUGAUGAACACAAUUUCAAAGAUUUACCCAGAAUACCAUUGGAUCUGCAUCUGGGAAAUAAAUACGGGUUGAGCUAUACAA